rnacentral:lncRNA from 1 species
NNNNNNNNNNNNNNNNNNNNNNNNNNNNNNNNNNNNNNNNNNUCCCUCCGCCGCCAACCGCUCGCGGACCGCGCGGCUCGUCUUCCUGCGCGCCCGCGGGAAGCAGCGUGGGUCUCGUGGAAACUGUGGCCUGGGAGCAGGGGGCGCCGGCUUAGGGCGCGGGGAGGGGGCCGGGACUUUCUUCCAGCGCGGAGGCGCACGCUGGUUAGCGGCGCACUCGUGACGCAAGGAGGCAGAGACCGUGAGACGGAAAGAUAAGGCUGGACAGCGGUGGCCAAUCGAAGGGUGCGACCGUUUGAUUGGCGUGACCGGCGGCCACUCGCGAUGCGGCCCCGCCCCCGCCACGCCUCCUCCGCGAGGUCCGGCGAAGAAAGAGGUGGGACUCUCGGGGCGUUAGUCCCGGAGGAGCGAUGGGGGAGGGCUUUGCGGUUUUAUUGUCAGGUGUGCGUGCCCGCCCGCGCGCCUCCCACACCUCCCCGUGUGCCCAACAGUGUCGGGACAUUAUUGACUUUCCGCCCUCCUCAGCCCGAGGAUCUCGGGGUCAGAACCCAGCCGGACACAGAAUCUGCAACGCGUAUCUGUAAAGUGGGGCAAUGCGAAAGAGUGAACGUGCCCUCCGUUCGUGGGGGGGGGGGCGGCGUGUGCAGAAACCUGGAUCUCAUGCGCCCACCUGGGGUAAGACUUUAGUGAUGAAAACAAGAAAUGGCAGAGGCAGAUGGAGGCGUCUCCAACAGGGCGCCCGGGGAGGGGGGGGGGCUCUCCCCUCUGUUUGAGUCCACUUGGUGGAUUUUUUUUCCUUUUUUAUUUAGGGGAAAGUCCCGUUAACAGAAUCAAUCAUUUUAUUUUCUUAAGAUUUUUUUUUAAAGAUUUAUUUAUUUCUUUAUUGGACAGAGAGAUCACAAGUAGGCAGAGAGGCAGGCAGAGAGAGAGAGAAGCAGACUCCCUGCUGAGCAGAGAGCCCGACGCGGGACUCGAUCCCAGGACCCCGAGAUCAUGACCUGAGCCGAAGGCAGCGGCUUAACCCACUGAGCCACCCAGGCGCCCCAAGAUUUUAAGUGAUCUUUGUACCCCCGGUGGGGCUUGAACCCAUGACCCUGAGAUCAAGAGUCACAUGCUCCACUGACUGGGUCACCCCGGCGCCACCAGAGAGCGCCUGUGAUUGAUUACUUAAUAUUAUUAUCAAUAAUUAUCAAUUAUUCAUAAUUAUUUUGGAAGUGAAAAUUCAGGGGCAUAUUUGUACAUUCACUGUUCUGCGCAGCCGUCACCUCUACCUAACUCCAGAAUAUUCUGAAGCCAACGAGAUACCCCGUCCCCAUCAGCAGUCAUCCUUCCCCUCCCCCGCCCCCUACCCCCCCCAGCCCCCUUCCUGUCUGUGGAGGAGCGUGUCUGGGCGUGUCACACCCCAUGUGGCCUCCGUGCACCUCGUGGGCUCGAGGUCCGUCGUGGGCUCGGGGUCCGUCCCCGGGGCAGCGCGUGGGUGCCUCGCUCCUGGUUACAGCUGAGUGCAGGCGUGUGUGUGUUGGUUUCAUGUGUCUGGCCACAGGUCGAAGGGCGUCUGUGCCUCGUGAACUGUGCAGCUCUGGACACGCAUGUGGUUGCUUUCCGUGUGUGUGUUUGAGCCCCAGGGUUUUGAGUAGGAGUUUUUCAAAUGAUGUGAAUGUGUCCGUUGCCCAUGUUUAAAACGUGGGGAGAUGCACCCACAACUGCCCACCACAGCCGCCGUAUGAACAACUGGCCACCCCAGGUCCAGCAGCUGCUGAUAGCCACGGACCCCGUGAGCACAGGAUGGCCCCCUCCCAGCCUCCUGCUGUCCUCACCUCAGCCAUUGGGCCCCUCACACGGGGGUCCGUCAACACCUGUCAUCACCAAGAUCAGAAAGGCAGGCCCCCGAGAGUGGCCCGACAAGGUGUGUGAAGUGAAGCUCACCUAGUCUCCAUCCGCACUCGCGGGUGGGCCUUGGACGUCCAUUUAGCAAAUAUUCACCAAGUGCCCAUCACGUGCCAGACACAGCGCUAGAAGAACCGGUGAACAGCGGGAAGAUCCCCCUGGUGGAGGUGGUGCUCCAGGUGUGGGAGACAGACAAGAAGACAUAAGGAAAGGAGACAGCACGAUCCAAGUGCGGGGUGAGGGCACGGCGUGCGUCUGAUAAGAGGUGGUUCCUGUAGUCGUCUGAGGACCGUGGGGGUUGAGCCGUUCAGCAGAAGGUAACGCGGGGGAAGGGCGUUCCAGGCAGCAAGCACAGCCAGUGCAAAGGCCCUGGGGCAGCACUGGGUUGGCCGAUUGGAGGAACAGGGAGGAGGUCCACGCGGCUGGAGCAGGGUAGGCAAGGGGGAGAGAGGGAGGAGUGCAGGGCCCUGGAGACAUCAGUGAAGACUUGGGCUUUUCCCGGAGGAGCCCCAGAGGGCUGUAAGCAGAGUGGGACGCGAGGCAGGUGCUCAUGGGCGCCCUCUGGUGGCCACGGAGAGGGGACACAUCAGACUGUGGGGGCGUUGGGAGAGGGGGCAGGAAGGAGACCAGGGUAGAGGCGCCUGCUGUGGUCCAGGUGGCCAAUGAUGGGGUGGAACUGGGCCCACGCUGGAUGUGCUUUGAAGUUAGAGCUCCAGGGAGGUUUCCGGAUGGAAUGGAUGUGGUUAGAGACGCUCAAGGUCAAGGGUGACCCCAAGGAUUCUGGCCUGCACCUGGAAAGAUGGAGAGGCCCGUGCCUGAAGGGGAGGUGGGACUGGGCAACCUGGCGGUGGGAAUGGGCACUUUGACGGUCUGGAGUUGAGGUCCGACUGGCGUGGGACCAGGGAGUGUCCUGGGCACAUAAGGGCAUGUGAGUGUACUAGGAGUGGGUCCUGAGCCCGGGGUGGAGGAUAUCCGAGGGGGUCAGGGAUCCCCGAGGCCACAUGACCAGGAAGCGUCCAGAAGGCCGCAGGGGACGUCUUCGAGCUGUGCAGAGCACAUGGGAUGGGGUCCCAAGAGAGACAGGCAGGAGGGGCUGUCCCCGAAUUCCAGGGACUCUGCCCAAAGGGGCAGAAAAGCCAGGUGGAGUGGGAAGGGGGCAGUGGGACCGGGGUCCAAGGAGCAAUGUCUGCGGGCCUGCGGGGCAGAGCCAGGGAAAAGGGGACAAAGCGAAGCAGGGGUUAGCGGAUACAGGAGGGAGGCCGUCCUUGCGGAAGGGCGAGGGACCCCUGCCCAGCACGGCCGCAGGGCGAGGACCCCGGGGCAGGGCUCAGCGGGAGCCGGCGGGGCAAUGCUAGGAACGGCCACCAG